rnacentral:rRNA from 1 species
AGUGAACGCUGGCGGUAGGCCUAACACAUGCAAGUCGAACGGCAGCACAGUAAGAGCUUGCUCUUACGGGUGGCGAGUGGCGGACGGGUGAGGAAUACAUCGGAAUCUACUUUUUCGUGGGGGAUAACGUAGGGAAACUUACGCUAAUACCGCAUACGACCUACGGGUGAAAGCAGGGGAUCUUCGGACCUUGCGCGAUUGAAUGAGCCGAUGUCGGAUUAGCUAGUUGGCGGGGUAAAGGCCCACCAAGGCGACGAUCCGUAGCUGGUCUGAGAGGAUGAUCAGCCACACUGGAACUGAGACACGGUCCAGACUCCUACGGGAGGCAGCAGUGGGGAAUAUUGGACAAUGGGCGCAAGCCUGAUCCAGCCAUGCCGCGUGGGUGAAGAAGGCCUUCGGGUUGUAAAGCCCUUUUGUUGGGAAAGAAAAGCAGCGUGUUAAUACCCCGCUGUUCUGACGGUACCCAAUGAAUAAGCACCGGCUAACUUCGUG